rnacentral:rRNA from 1 species
ACAUACAAGUAGUAGGAAAGGGAAACUAGGACCGGACCCUUCCGGGGAGGCUUGUACAGGUGCUGCAUGGCUGUCGUCAGCUCGUGUCGUGAGAUGUUCGGUUAAGUCCGCUAACGAGCGCAACCCUCGCUGUGUGUUACAAGUGUCACACGGAACUGCCGGUCAUAAACCGGAGGAAGGUGGGAUGACGUCAAGUCAGCAUGGCCUUUAUAUCCUGGGCUACACACACGCUACAAUGGGAAGGGACAAUAGGUUGCGAAGCCGCGAGGCGGAGCCAAUCCAGCAAAACUUCCCUCAGUUCAGAUUGCAGGCUGCAACCCGCCCUGCAUGAAGUUGGAGUUGCUAGUAAACGCAGGUCAGCCAUACUGCGUUGAAUACGUUCCCGGGGCUU